GCGGCAAUCAUUCCAGAACGAAAAAUGUCAUGGAAUUAUAAAAACGAGAUCGGACAGAUUACGUAACGACAACAAAAGGGUCUACACUGGCUUUUAAUCAUUUUUUACAAUGAAGUUCGGCGGUCGUAGCAUCGACAGGCUCUAUGGUUCGCGUUCUAUCAACAAAAUAAAUUAGUGACAACACCAGGAAUUAAACAAGCACGAGGAAGGAUAGACGAGAAUAACGAAAUUUGCACUCGAUAUUUUUCAUGUCCACAAAACACACCCGCGAGCACAUUCGCUGUGGAAUUCCUAAUAGAUGCCGAUGAGUGGAAAGCAGCCGGAGCAGAGUGAUGAGAUUAGUGCCAACCUUUUUUUUGCGCGUAUCGAAAAAAACGACUAGCUGUUAACGAACGCUCGGACGGAUUUGUGAGAUGGAAAAAAAUGUUUGAUGUAUAUUUAAUUUUUUCGUUGUAGUUUUAUGCACUCACGCUCUGGCAUAAGUGCUACAUUCGUUUAGAAAGCGCGCAUUUAAGUGAAAAAUUCUCACACGGGAGCAGUAUUUGCUCAAAGCUUCAUGUCGGCGAAUAUAAUCCUAAAGGUUCGUGCAUUCCACGCGGUGAGCGCAAUUGUGACGCCAAAAAAUAACGAUUUUUUUAUAUGUGUCUUAAACCUGAGCCAUAUCAACGAGUCAAUUGAGAGAGAAAUUUUCUAUUUUUAUUCUUAUUCACAAACUGUCAAAUUGAUUCCAAUUUCGAAUGAGAACUGCGAAUUAUUCU